rnacentral:ncRNA from 2 species
AUAAAUCGAAGAGGUCGCAACCAACAAGAGUCAGUCUGUGAAGUCACUGUAAUGACGAUGAAGCAGACUAAAAGGGGCGGUUGCCGAAGCGCUAGGCUUUACAGAACUUAGUUAGCUGGGACGUGGUUUAAGAGGCCACGAACUGUCGCGGGCAAUAGCUCGCGGGGCGCUAUCGAAAAUG